AGGUUAAUGAGGCGAACCGGGGGAACUGAAACAUCUAAGUACCCCGAGGAAAAGAAAUCAACCGAGAUUCCCCCAGUAGCGGCGAGCGAACGGGGAGGAGCCCAGAGCCUGAAUCAGUGUGUGUGUUAGUGGAAGCGUCUGGAAAGGCGCGCGAUACAGGGUGACAGCCCCGUACACAAAAAUGCACAUACUGUGAGCUCGAUGAGUAGGGCGGGACACGUGGUAUCCUGUCUGAAUAUGGGGGGACCAUCCUCCAAGGCUAAAUACUCCUGACUGACCGAUAGUGAACCAGUACCGUGAGGGAAAGGCGAAAAGAACCCCGGCGAGGGGAGUGAAAAAGAACCUGAAACCGUGUACGUACAAGCAGUGGGAGCACAGAGCAAUCUGUGUGACUGCGUACCUUUUGUAUAAUGGGUCAGCGACUUAUAUUCUGUAGCAAGGUUAACCGAAUAGGGGAGCCGAAGGGAAACCGAGUCUUAACUGGGCGUUAAGUUGCAGGGUAUAGACCCGAAACCCGGUGAUCUAGCCAUGGGCAGGUUGAAGGUUGGGUAACACUAACUGGAGGACCGAACCGACUAAUGUUGAAAAAUUAGCGGAUGACUUGUGGCUGGGGGUGAAAGGCCAAUCAAACCGGGAGAUAGCUGGUUCUCCCCGAAAGCUAUUUAGGUAGCGCCUCGUGAAUUCAUCUCCGGGGGUAGAGCACUGUUUCGGCAAGGGGGUCAUCCCGACUUACCAACCCGAUGCAAACUGCGAAUACCGGAGAAUGUUAUCACGGGAGACACACGGCGGGUGCUAACGUCCGUCGUGAAGAGGGAAACAACCCAGACCGCCAGCUAAGGUCCCAAAGUCAUGGUUAAGUGGGAAACGAUGUGGGAAGGCCCAGACAGCCAGGAUGUUGGCUUAGAAGCAGCCAUCAUUUAAAGAAAGCGUAAUAGCUCACUGGUCGAGUCGGCCUGCGCGGAAGAUGUAACGGGGCUAAACCAUGCACCGAAGCUGCGGCAGCGACGCUUAUGCGUUGUUGGGUAGGGGAGCGUUCUGUAAGCCUGUGAAGGUGUACUGU
rnacentral:rRNA from 1 species